rnacentral:lncRNA from 1 species
CAGAACCCUGGGAGAAAGGGAUUUGGGUGGAAAAGGUAGCUAAUAGGAGGGAGCAAAUUCAAGGAUAGAGCUUCUCCCAGGAUGUAUGCAGUUGACUUUCUUACCUCCCAGGAGCUCGCCAUCAAGUCUACAGCCUGAAGCACAGGUUGGGGGGUCCUAGGCCCAUUGUCUGCUGUAAAGGUCUAGGGUGAGGUGGGAGUCCUGUCCUUGCAUUGAUUGGGGUGGGCGGUGGUGGCCUGGCCUCAGCUCAGGGUGUGCAUAUGUAUGUGUGGCAGGUCCUACAUGAGGUCAGCAAUGGCAGCGUGGUGCACCGACUCUGCAGUGAUUCUUGCUUCUCCAAAUUCCGAGCCAACAAGGGACUGAAAACCAACUGUUGUGACCAGUGUGGGGCUUACAUCUAUGCCAGGCCUGGGGGCCUUGGCCCAGAGCUCCUGUUCCAUGAUGGUCAACAAAAGCGGUUUUGCAACACAACGUGCUUGGGGGCAUACAAGAAGGUGGGGCCGAGGGAGUAGUGCAUUAGAGGGCUAUGGAAGGGGGUGUGGUUCUUGGGUGAUAAAUAAAGGUGCCUGAAGGGUCGAGGGCUGGGAAAAAUAAAACAAA